AACAGUAAGAAACAAACCUCUCAAACACCGAACUGAGGAAGGAAGUGGCUUUUUAUCUGGCUAGGAGCUGCACAGGGGGCUACAGCCUCAUUCACCGAGCUCCCCGAGAAGCAGCUUCUUUCCCCUUUUAUAGGCUUAACAACACCAAAGGAGAAACUGAGGUGAAACUAUGUCAUUGUCCAUUGACUGGAUGUCCGACCUUACAAUCUUUUGGCUUCAUUGAUUUGCUACUUGAUAACCCAGCUCCA